rnacentral:rRNA from 1 species
GACGAACGCUGGCGGCGUGCCUAAUACAUGCAAGUAGAACGCUGAAGCGAGGAGCUUGCUCUUCUUGGAUGAGUUGCGAACGGGUGAGUAACGCGUAGGUAACCUGCCUUGUAGCGGGGGAUAACUAUUGGAAACGAUAGCUAAUACCGCAUAACAAUGGAUGACCCAUGUCAUUUAUUUGAAAGGGGCAAAUGCUCCACUACAAGAUGGACCUGCGUUGUAUUAGCUAGUAGGUGAGGUAACGGCUCACCUAGGCGACGAUACAUAGCCGACCUGAGAGGGUGAUCGGCCACACUGGGACUGAGACACGGCCCAGACGCCUACGGGAGGCAGCAGUAGGGAAUCUUCGGCAAUGGGGGCAACCCUGACCGAGCAACGCCGCGUGAGUGAAGAAGGUUUUCGGAUCGUAAAGCUCUGUUGUAAGUCAAGAACGAGUGUGAGAGUGGAAAGUUCACACUGUGACGGUAGCUUACCAGAAAGGGACGGCUAACUACGUG